UACGUAGGGGCCUAGCGUUGUCCGGAUUUAUUGGGCGUAAAGAGCUCGUAGGCGGUUCGGCAAGUCGGAUGUGAAAUCUCCACGCUCAACGUGGAGGGGCCAUUCGAAACUGCCGUGACUCGAGUCCGGUAGGGGAGUGUGGAAUUCCCGGUGUAGCGGUGAAAUGCGCAGAUAUCGGGAGGAACACCAGUAGCGAAGGCAGCUCGCUGGGACGGUACUGACGCUAAGGCGCGAAAGCGUGGGGAGCGAACAGG
rnacentral:rRNA from 1 species